rnacentral:rRNA from 1 species
AUUGAACGCUGGCGGCAUGCUUUACACAUGCAAGUCGAACGGUAACAGGCCGCAAGGUGCUGACGAGUGGCGAACGGGUGAGUAAUGCAUCGGAACGUGCCCAGUCGUGGGGGAUAACGCAGCGAAAGUUGCGCUAAUACCGCAUACGAUCUAUGGAUGAAAGCGGGGGACCGUAAGGCCUCGCGCGAUUGGAGCGGCCGAUGUCAGAUUAGGUAGUUGGUGGGGUAAAGGCUCACCAAGCCGACGAUCUGUAGCCGGUCUGAGAGGACGACCAGCCACACUGGGACUGAGACACGGCCCAGACUCCUACGGGAGGCAGCAGUGGGGAAUUUUGGACAAUGGGCGCAAGCCUGAUCCAGCAAUGCCGCGUGCAGGAAGAAGGCCUUCGGGUUGUAAACUGCUUUUGUACGGAACGAAACGGUCCUGGUUAAUACCCGGGGCUAAUGACGGUACCGUAAGAAUAAGCACCGGCUAACUACGUGCCAGCAGCCGCCGCGGUAA